rnacentral:rRNA from 1 species
AACGAACGCUGGCGGCAUGCCUAACACAUGCAAGUCGGACGAAGGCUUCGGCCUUAGUGGCGCACGGGUGCGUAACGCGUGGGAAUCUGCCCUUUGGUUCGGAAUAACAGCUGGAAACGGCUGCUAAUACCGGAUGAUGACGAAAGUCCAAAGAUUUAUCGCCAGAGGAUGAGCCCGCGUUGGAUUAGGUAGUUGGUGGGGUAAAGGCCUACCAAGCCGACGAUCCAUAGCUGGUCUGAGAGGAUGAUCAGCCACACUGGGACUGAGACACGGCCCAGACUCCUACGGGAGGCAGCAGUGGGGAAUAUUGGACAAUGGGCGCAAGCCUGAUCCAGCAAUGCCGCGUGAGUGAUGAAGGCCCUAGGGUUGUAAAGCUCUUUUACCCGGGAAGAUAAUGACUGUACCGGGAGAAUAAGCCCCGGCUAACUCCGUG